GUGGUCAGAGACCUGGAGAUCCACAAG
rnacentral:piRNA from 1 species